rnacentral:lncRNA from 1 species
CACAUUUAAUUUUAGGGUAGUAUAACAUCUGACUAACACCUGAAUAAGUGUUAAAUCCCUUCAUCGUGGUUUUGUUGUUCAUAUCUUUUGACAGUUAACAAUGGAUCAAAUUUAGGUAGGAAAAGCUCAUGUGAUGUCAAAACCAGCUAUAAAAAAUGUUUUGUACAUUUCAGAGCUUUGGUUUGCUUUAACAGCUUUCUUUCCCUUCAUUCAUUCAUAUCUUGUAGCAUCUAUUAAAAUGAAUGGCUGAGUGAAAAUCUGGUAUGGUCAUGAAAAGACCAUUUUCUGCGAAAAUCUUGUACAUUAUCAGACAUCAGGGCACAGAUGUGAACUAGAUUACCCCACGCUCCCCCUAAUAUUCUUCUCCUGCUCUCUCUCUCUCCCUCACUCUCCUGACCACAAAAGAAAGAAAUCAUUGAGUUUCUGCCUUUUUAUAAACACUCCCUCUCCUUCCAGUAGUCUCCAAAUAGGGACACAGAUUUUUCAGGUUCCCAAACUUUGUUGGAAGAAGUGAAAAGAAGUCUAAGGCAGGCUGAUUAUGUGUGCUCCACUUCUCUGCUUCUGAAUGGCAGAGCAAAGAACAGUGCUUUGAACAUUUUGACCAGACACAUGGCUCUACAUUGUGACAUGGCAGAAGAUUCUGAUGAGGUCAGAGCUUUGCAACAGUGGUGAUUGUGUGGAAAAGCUGUGUCCAGCUUUGAGGGGCUCAAGAGGGACCUCCCAUUUGUCAUUGCUUGGGUUCUCCAUCCCAGCUCACAGAGGUUCCUCCCUCUUCUGGGUCAUGAUGAGGCUUCACUCUACGCUGGGCACUUGGCUCUUCACACUCCUAGUGAUGCCAGUCUACUGCCAGAGUGGUGAUAAUGGAGAGUGGGGAUCAGGUGACGUCUCUGGGACUGUGGUCACUGGCAACUCCUCCACUUCAAUCUUCCAUGCAGUGGGGGAUGAGCCAGACAGGACCAGGCCAGUUUUUCAGAGCCUGUCAGAGACAGAAGGCGGUGACUGUUAUGUCAACUUUCACACCAGCCAAGUCAUGUCAAGGCGCUUACGAGCUUUCAGCCAAGUCAUGUCAAGGCGCUUACGAGCUUUCAGAGAGGAAGUUGCUUAUCUAAAGGCCCUUCAACAUGGGAACCAGGCAGUGAUGGAGAAUCUGGUCCAGUUUGUUGGAGCAGAGAUGGGAGAUCAACGCUACGAGGAGGUGAUCCAAGAGAACAUUGUUGGAAUCAGAGAGGAUCACAUGAGCUGUGAGAGCGUGGUGACAAAAGCAGCAGAGGAGCUGGAGAGUCAGCUGGAGGGAGAUGCUCAAUCCACUUUGGCUGGAAUUCAGAAAAUAAAAGAGGAGUCCCUUUCCUUUGAAGAAAUGCUGCGUACCGCGACGGACAUCGCCACUCGACUGGAGAGCUCCUCACGAACCCUGCAUGUAGAGAUGAUCAAACAGCUGAGGAAGAACAUGAGACAGCCGCGCAAAACUAAAUGAUUCAGUGGGAAACCCUCCAACCUGGAAAAAACAGAUAAAAGUGUUAUAUGGCAUGUCACAUCUAUAUUUAUCCAUAAUGUUUUAAUAACAGUAAAACAAUGCCUUAAACAGUCCAUAUGUGGACCAUUUGACUGCAUUUUUUAAUAUUUAAUCUCACUUGCUUACUAUGUUUUUAAAAGCACUAUUGUCAGUGAAUAGACUGAAAUGCAAACUAUAUUUUUCUCUCUUGUCUGAUGUUCAUUUGUGAGCCAUAAUGAAAACAUAAUGGCUUUGUGUACAAGGAAAUUUAAAAAAUGAUCUUGGCAGUGAGGUGACAUCUUAAAAGAAUACUCUCUUUCCAAGUACAGACAACCCUGCAGCUAUGGUCUAGAUGUCUUGGCGCUAGGGAGCAGAUGGUGAAAAGACUGAGGGUCUGGAAUUCAGCAAGCAUGAACUCUUAUACGUUGGAGAGAGAGAGCAAGAUGGAAAUGAAAAAAGAAAGAAAGAAAAAAAACAUGGCAGUGAUGUCACUGAGAAAUAAAUAAAAACAUGACUUGGCAGCUUGAAGCCAGAAUCUAAAAGAAUCAGAAGAAAGAAUCUGAAAUUGUUGCGACUGAAGAAUGUUAUUUUAAAAUAUAUUGUGAUUACUCGAGUAUGAUUAAAUAUACUGUAAGUAUACUAUUAAAAGUGUAUUACUCUGGUCAGUUGUGGUCACUUUUGCUGUAUGUGUAUUUUUGAAGGGAUUUCUGUGUGUACAGUAUACUGGCAGCUAUUAUGUUCAUAGAUACAGAUUGUGUGAAAGAAUGAAUUUCAGUGACAUCAACUAAAUACAAUACUGAGUGUUGUAUAUUUAUAUACUGUUAAUGGGGGUUAUAGUCAUUCUUUAUGUGGAAUUGCUGAAUAUGAUAUUCACUAAAAGUGAAUACGAGGGUUUCCAAUUUUAAAAAAAAGUACAAUUAGAGAAGGUAUUUUUUCAAGCCAUCCCUCUGCUAGAAAUUGCUCGUUGAGAGUGUGAACUCUUUAAAUUGUUUAAAAAUAAAAGCCCCACAAACAACUGUACAGUAGUGUCAUUGAAAAGCCAUAGAUAUUUAUGGUGCUUAUGUUAGUAAAAUGUAUGUAAAAAUAGCAAUGAGACAUAAUUACUACCUUCUUACUUGUGCAUUCAUAAUUACCGUCUUAUGUGUUUAAGCUGCGUUAGAAUUAUUAAUAAUAGAUGUCUCUCUCUGUCUCUAAACUGCAUUUCAGUUUCACCUUCUGAGUUCUCAGCAUUUAUUCAUCCACCCUGACCUCUAGCGGAGUUUAACUGCAAUAACAAUUCAAUCACUUGCAAUAGGUUUGGCCCUGAUUUGACAAGGAUCUUCUCCAUACGAGUUCGCGAAAGUAUCCAUUAAUCUUGAGUUAAUUAUGUUGUUUUUAAUUGAAAAAGAAAAUUCGUUCAGAUUUGUUGAACAGACAUCGGACAAUUUGAAAAGUGGUCAAGCUCGUGAACUUGUGAUGUGUUCCCUCCCUCCCUUUCUGUCUGACAUGAAAGUGGGUAGGCGGACUGAGAUAGAGAUGCUCAGUCUGUAGUAAACCCUGGAAACAGCAGGAGCCAGGUCAUGAGUGCAUCUAGACACUGUGUGAGACGAAUGGAGUUACUCUGGGAUAUAUCUGCUUCUAAAAAUACUUCUUUUUCGGAUGCGUAUGGAGAUAAAUAAUACUUUUGCAGCACGGAAUCUGAUCUUCCGCUGAACAGGUGCGCAAAACUUAAGCCCAUCAUCGUGCUUUUUCACGUAGAGAGAAAUAAAACUUCAGGGUUGGAUAAAUAUGGAAGAACACUGGAUUUAUGCUACGAAAAACUAAUUUUUGCCAACCCUUUUAAUACACGAGAUUAAAAAAACUUGUCGAGCACAUCUAACCCUAAAUACAACCAGCAGAGGAUGCAGAGUAUGACACCACAACCGAAAACACAGAAGCCACUGAAUUAUACGGAAACUGUCGCGUGGAAUGCAGAUGAAAAUAUAGAAAUGUAUUGAAAGUAAUUGGCUGUAUGAUGGAGCGCUUUCAGUAUCAGCGGUUCUUCCUGAGGAUUUCUCUUCUCUGCACUAUCCUAUGUGAGUCAGGUAAGUUUCACUUCUGAUUUGUUUCACAUUUUUCCACAAAUAUUGCUUAAGAAAGAAACCAAAGAGACUCGUGGAACAUGGUACUGUAGCUGGUCUCUAGUCCAAACUGACUAUUAAUUGUAUAAACUGAUUUUGACUGCUCAUUUCCAAACAAAAAUAAAUAAAAACCUUCCUAGCCUUCCUUAAUCUGGUUAUAAUAGCGGUUUUGAUGCUGGUCUAAAAUGGUCUGUCAACUUAAACCAGUUUUGGUCACCCUAAGCCAGAAUCUUUUCUAGAAAAGAGUCUUAAAAAUAAGACACAAAGUUUAUAUUUGAUUGUUUUACUUGUGUAUUUUAGGCAUUUCCAACGUGCAUUGAUUAAUUUGAUCAAUUUGAUUCAUUGUCAGUUAAGAACAAACUGCCUCUGCUUAAAAAUCUCAAAACAUCCAGUUUAAUCUGGUUUUCAGCAGGUCACAAUGGGAGACCAGUUUAUCUUAAACCAGCAAACCACCAUGAGCUGGUUUAAGAUGCAAAUACUUUCACAUAUCCACAGUCAGAGAUGUGUAGGCAUUAGAAUGGCACGCACGAUUGCCAGUAAAAUUAAAUGUCCUCUCCACGGCCAAGCUGGCGCUUAAAUCAAGGCAGAUUUAUUGGGCUUGCUCAUCACUCUGCGUUUACGCUCGCACUCUCCACGAGCGCUGCUCGCUGUCAGCAGCCGCUGGACUCCUGAUGAAUGAAUAUCACUGCGGGCAUCUGAUGAGCUUGCAGCUGGAUGCACUUUACCAUCGCUAUUUGCAUCGGAUUUGCUCAAGAACAUCCCGAGCUCUGGAAAGUUUCCAGAGUUUAACAGAGAUACAAGAAAAAGAAGGUCGCCAUCCAAUUUCAGGUCCGAGGCUUUGAUCUAACAGCCUACAAGUCUGUAUAGUGAAAUCCGUCCACCUGCUCUGCUCCUCACAGACUGGAGAGCGGGUGCGCUGUUAUCGCUGUUUGAGCGGCUGCAGAACUGACGCACACGUCACCGUUCCAAACUGGAAUUGAGAACGAGCCUAGAAUUUCGAUGUUCUUUUAGUGACAUACAAAAAUUAUCACGUUAACCAGUUUCUGUAGUAGCCUACAGUAAUUGCUACUUAAGAAAAAAUCACUGUAAUGAAUUAAAUUAUAGGUCUACACCUUUUAGUUAUAGGGUACAUGUAGGCCUACUAAAUUAAACAUUUGUAGAAUAAAACUUUUAUUAUACAAAAUAAUAUUUUAAAGUAAAAUUGUGGUGCAAUAGUUAUAUUUAUAAGUUCGCUGCGCUUUGAAUUUAAUUACUGAUGAAGACAAUUAGACAGUCACCUUAACAACAUUUUUGCAGUGUAAAAGCUU